rnacentral:tRNA from 1 species
GACCUCGUGGAACAGCCGGAGUGCUCGACAUCCUGUCAAGGCGGAGGUCGCGGGUUCAAGUCCCGUUGGGGUCA